GAUUGUCAACAAGCGUUUGUGAUUUUCAGCGUAUAGGUCGUUGGGGUUGGAUGGGAGUGCCACACCCAAGUAUUUAAUUGGCCAUCGGCUAAGGUUCAGGUUAUAGGUUUGAGCCCGCCAAUUGGUGUCUGGGGCAUGCCCACCGAUUUAUCAACGUUUAUCUUGUACCCUGAGACGCAUUUAAACGCUCUAAUAGGUCGAGGAAGCUUGGUACGGAGUUU